UACAGAGGGGGCAAGCGUUGUUCGGAAUUACUGGGCGUAAAGCGCGCGCAGGCGGUCUUCCAAGUCAGUGGUGAAAGCCCGGAGCUCAACUCCGGAACUGCCAUUGAAACUGUGAGACUUGAGGACGAGAGAGGUGAGUGGAAUUCCCAGUGUAGAGGUGAAAUUCGUAGAUAUUGGGAAGAACACCGGUGGCGAAGGCGGCUCACUGGCUCGUAUCUGACGCUCAGGCGCGACAGCGUGGGGAUCAAACAGG
rnacentral:rRNA from 1 species